GUUGCUGCUGCUCCCUGAAGGGAUGGUUGUACCCACAGGAGGCUCAGGUGUGGGCGGGUUGGGUGGAGUUUGGGAAUGCGGCGGAAUUUCUCAAGUCCCACCUGUUGUGCGUGGAUCACCCCAAAGAGGACUUUCCCAGCUUUGUUUUCCCAGCUUUGUUUUCCCAGCUUUGUUUUCUCAUUCCCUGAGGUGCUUGCCCUGCACCUUUUGCUCUGGAGAACGCAUGGGUUCAGUAAAUCAGGCCUGAAGAUGUGUGUGAGCAGCGGCAACGGCAGCGAGGGGACCCCGAGGGCAGCACAGAAGCACCUCCACGUGCCCUCCAUCAUCGUCACACCGCCCACACCCACGGGCACCGCGCUGGCCCGCCGUGGGGAGGGUCCCUCGCCCUGCAGCCCCUGCUGAGAGAGGGGACACCGGGGGCACCCACGUCGGGAUGGAGCCACAGCCCCCAGGGCACGGCUGCUGCUGCCAGGGACACGCGGGGCACCCACACGGGUGGGUUUGGACACCUGGGAUUGGGGUUUGUCCCUUUUCCUGACAGCGACGGGGAGGGGGAUCCUCCCCAUGGUGAAUAAAACCCCAUGGGCUCUGCA